GUGAACGCUGGCGGCAUGUCUAAGGCAUGCAAGUCGAAUGCUGAGCUUGCUCAGCAUGGCAAACGGGAGAGUAACACAUUGGUAAUCUACCUUGAUCUUGGGGAUAAUCCGAAGAAAUUUGGAAUAAUACCCAAUAGUCAUGGGGGGACAUAAGUCAUUCCCAUGUAAAGUUCCGGCGGAUCAAGAGGAGCCUAUGGCCUAUCAGCUUGUUGGUAGGGUAACGGCCUACCAAGGCAAUGACGGGUAGGGGACCUGAGAGGGUGACCCCCCACAAUGGCACUGAAACACGGGCCAUACACCUACGGGUGGCAGCAGUAGGGAAUAUUGGACAAUGGGCGAAAGCCUGAUCCAGCAACGCCGCGUGCACGAUGACGGCCUUCGGGUUGUAAAGUGCUUUUAGAGGAGAUGAGAAAGGACAGUAUCCUCUGAAUAAGCCUCGGCGAACUACGUGCCAGCAGCCGCGGUAAAACGUAGGAGGCAAGCGUUAUCCGGAUUUAUUGGGCGUAAAGCGCGUGCAGGCGGUUUGACAAGUUGGAUGUGAAAGCUCCCGGCUUAACUGGGAGAGGUCGUUCAAAACUGUCAGACUAGAGAAUGGGAGAGGGAGGUGGAAUUCCGGGUGUAGUGGUGAAAUGCGUAGAUAUCCGGAGGAACACCAGUGGCGAAAGCGGCCUCCUAGACCAUUUCUGACGCUAAGACGCGAAAGCUAGGGUAGCAAACGGGAUUAGAGACCCCGGUAGUCCUAGCCGUAAACGAUGUAGACUUGGUGUUGGCGGAGUUAAAUCUGUCAGUACCGUAGCUAACGCGAUAAGUCUACCGCCUGGGGACUACGAUCGCAAGAUUAAAACUCAAAGGAAUUGACGGGGACCCGCACAAGCAGCGGAGCGUGUGGUUUAAUUCGAUGCUACACGAAGAACCUUACCAGGGUUUGACAUGUAAGUGGUAGUGAUCCGAAAGGUGAACGACCCCUCGGGGAGCUUACACAGGUGCUGCAUGGCUGUCGUCAGCUCGUGUCGUGAGAUGUUCGGUUAAGUCCGCUAACGAGCGCAACCCUCACUGUGUGUUAUAUGUGUCACACGGGACUGCCGGUUUUAAGCCGGAGGAAGGCGAGGAUGACGUCAAGUCAGCAUGGCCUUUAUAUCCUGGGCUACACACACGCUACAAUGGUCGGUACAAUAGGUUGCCAAGCCGCGAGGCGGAGCCAAUCCUCAAAGCCGGCCUCAGUUCAGAUUGUAGGCUGCAACUCGCCUGCAUGAAGCUGGAGUUGCUAGUAACCGCAGGUCAGCUAUACUGCGGUGAAUACGUUCCCGGGUCUUGUACACACCGCCCGUCAAGGG
rnacentral:rRNA from 1 species